rnacentral:rRNA from 1 species
UACGUAGGGUGCGAGCGUUAAUCGGAAUUACUGGGCGUAAAGCGUGCGCAGGCGGUUCGUUGUGUCGGUGGUGAAAUCUCCAGGCUUAACCUGGAAAGUGCAGAGGGGACUGUUCAGCUAGAGGAUGGGAGAGGAGCGCGGAAUUCCCGGUGUGAGCGGUGAAAUGCGUAGAGAUCGGGAGGAAGGCCGGUGGCGAAGGCGGCGCUCUGGAACAUUUCUGACGCUGAGGCUCGAAAGCGUGGGGAGCAAACAGGG